rnacentral:rRNA from 1 species
UACGGGGGGGGCAAGCGUUGUUCGGAAUUACUGGGCGUAAAGGGCUCGUAGGCGGCCAACUAAGUCGGACGUGAAAUCCCCAGGCUUAACCUGGGAACUGCAUCCGAUACUGGAUGGCUUGAAUUCGGGAGAGGGAUGCAGAAUUCCAGGUGUAGCGGUGAAAUGCGUAGAUAUCUGGAGGAAUACCGGUGGCGAAGGCGGCAUCCUGGACCGACAUUGACGCUGAACGGCGAAAGCUAGGGGAGCAAACGGG